GACGAACCGUGCGAACGUUAUUCGGAAUCACUGGGCUUAAAGCGCGUGUAGGCGGCCCGGCGCGUCGGAUGCUGAAAUCCCCCGGCUCAACCGGGGAAGGGGCGCCGAUACGGCCGGGCUGGAGGGGGUAGGGGGCGCUGGAACUCACGGUGGAGCGGUGAAAUGCGUUGAGAUCGUGAGGAACGCCCGCGGCGAAAGCGAGCGCCUGGACCCUUUCUGACGCUGAGACGCGAAAGCCAGGGGAGCGAACGGG
rnacentral:rRNA from 1 species